CUAGCUACAGGCUUAACACAUGCAAGUCGAGGGGCAGCAUGGUCUUAGCUUGCUAAGGCCGAUGGCGACCGGCGCACGGGUGAGUAACACGUAUCCAACCUGCCGUCUACUCUUGGACAGCCUUCUGAAAGGAAGAUUAAUACAAGAUGGCAUCAUGAGUCCGCAUGUUCACAUGAUUAAAGGUAUUCCGGUAGACGAUGGGGAUGCGUUCCAUUAGAUAGUAGGCGGGGUAACGGCCCACCUAGUCUUCGAUGGAUAGGGGUUCUGAGAGGAAGGUCCCCCACAUUGGAACUGAGACACGGUCCAAACUCCUACGGGAGGCAGCAGUGAGGAAUAUUGGUCAAUGGGCGAGAGCCCGAACCAGCCAAGUAGCGUGAAGGAUGACUGCCCUAUGGGUUGUAAACUUCUUUUAUAAAGGAAUAAAGUCGGGUAUGGAUACCCGUUUGCAUGUACUUUAUGAAUAAGGAUCGGCUAACUCCGUGCCAGCAGCCGCGGUAAUACGGAGGAUCCGAGCGUUAUCCGGAUUUAUUGGGUUUAAAGGGAGCGUAGAUGGAUGUUUAAGUCAGUUGUGAAAGUUUGCGGCUCAACCGUAAAAUUGCAGUUGAUACUGGAUAUCUUGAGUGCAGUUGAGGCAGGCGGAAUUCGUGGUGUAGCGGUGAAAUGCUUAGAUAUCACGAAGAACUCCGAUUGCGAAGGCAGCCUGCUAAGCUGCAACUGACAUUGAGGCUCGAAAGUGUGGGUAUCAAACAGGAUUAGAUACCCUGGUAGUCCACACGGUAAACGAUGAAUACUCGCUGUUUGCGAUAUACUGCAAGCGGCCAAGCGAAAGCGUUAAGUAUUCCACCUGGGGAGUACGCCGGCAACGGUGAAACUCAAAGGAAUUGACGGGGGCCCGCACAAGCGGAGGAACAUGUGGUUUAAUUCGAUGAUACGCGAGGAACCUUACCCGGGCUUAAAUUGCAGAUGAAUUACGGUGAAAGCCGUAAGCCGCAAGGCAUCUGUGAAGGUGCUGCAUGGUUGUCGUCAGCUCGUGCCGUGAGGUGUCGGCUUAAGUGCCAUAACGAGCGCAACCCUUGUUGUCAGUUACUAACAGGUUCCGCUGAGGACUCUGACAAGACUGCCAUCGUAAGAUGUGAGGAAGGUGGGGAUGACGUCAAAUCAGCACGGCCCUUACGUCCGGGGCUACACACGUGUUACAAUGGGGGGUACAGAGGGCCGCUACCACGCGAGUGGAUGCCAAUCCCCAAAACCUCUCUCAGUUCGGACUGGAGUCUGCAACCCGACUCCACGAAGCUGGAUUCGCUAGUAAUCGCGCAUCAGCCACGGCGCGGUGAAUACGUUCCCGGGCCUUGUACACACCGCCCGUCAAGCCAUGGGAGCCGGGGGUACCUGAAGUGCGUAACCGCGAGGAGCGCCCUAGGGUAAAACUGGUGACUGGGGC
rnacentral:rRNA from 1 species